GUGAACCGUGGGAAAGCGUGAUGGCGAUUGAGAAGGUCAUUGAGCAACUCUUUCCUCUGGGCUGUGCUCGACAGGCUCCAGAAAACAGCCUCCAGUCUGUCUCUGACACACAGUCCUGGAUAACACGAGAAGAAGCGAAACACCAGAACAUCUGUCUGAACACCGGAGACAGAUAUGAGUUUCAAAACCUUUCAAAACAGCCACUUCUCGGGGAUCUCUUGAUUUAUGGUCUAUGGACACGCGUCUGAUUCCCAGUGCAGCCACACAGAUGAGUUUCCCUCCAUUUUUAAAACGAGACAGAAUUAAAUGAAAUUAAAUGAGGUAUGAGAUGUCGAGCGUGUCUCUGUAGCCGUCGGCUCAUUUCUCUUUCACUCAGUUACACGCAGAGAGAAUAUCACCAGUUCAAACAGCUCUCCAGUGUUUUCUGUCACUCAGAACACAGAAAAUUACCCAGAAGCCCUCAGAUCCAGAGCCACAGAUAAAACACAGAGCCACAUGAAGAACGUGAUGCAUGCAGGUGAAAACACACACACCAUAUAACACACACACACACACUUCAUACGCCGGGAACUGAUCAGCUCUAAUCAGGAACCCUGAUUAAUUACCCAUUAGGCAAAGCGUGAUUGUUGAUAUAGUGUGUCAUUCAAACAGAGCAGCGGGGAAAUACACACACACACACUGCAUGCUUCUCUUUAGACUGAAGUGCACUACAUAGACAGCAACACUACUAUAAUGCCAUAAACAUGAUUUUAACAUUUACAUAACCUUUAAAUAAAUGUUAGGGGAACAUUCGCUGUUAGCUGCAAUAAGUCGAUAGGCUUUGAAACAGACCUAAACUCAUAAAAAUAAAGGUUCGUUAUAAAGUCAAAAAUCAUGAAGAACACGGUUCUUAUAGAGCAAAAAUAUUCUAAAAGCUCUUCACACUCGGGGAAAAAAAGGUUCUUUGUGAAAACCCCCUUCUGCAACCUUUUUUGUUAAGAGUGCGCUCACGGUCAUGAAAUCAAACUGAUUUCUCUGUCUUGCUAUAACCUUUAAAUCAGCUGCGUUUUCAUUAAUUGUGUGCUCAAAUCCCCGAGCCGCUAAUGGUUUAAGAAUGAGGUCAGUGUGCAGAAUCGAGGGGUUUGAACACGUUUGCUCUCAUCUGCUAAUGAAGAGAUCCUUCAGUCAGUUCGGUUACACAGAAUGACCUCACAAUAGUGAAGAGUGAACCAGAGUUCAUGCUCAAGUGUUUGUCUGAGAGGUUUACUGAAAGCCUUGUACAAUACAUUAUAUAAUUAGUUUUAAUGCAUUUAUUAUGCCUUUGUGAUGCAAUUUUAUAAUGCAUUGUAUGAUCACAAGUAUAACACGACAAAAUAACUUCAAAUAUUAUCAUGCAUUAUUUAUAAAAAUUGUGGGCCGAUAGUUUAGCUUGAGCUGUUUGUCUUUGAUGGCACACGUCUGUGCUUUUCCUCCGGUCGAAUACUAAUAUAUUCUUUCUCAUCCAUGUAGCCAGAAUUUUGACUGGUCAAGAACUCCCAAAAAUAUGUUCUGAGGGCUCAAGGGGCCUGUUUCAAAGCAGAACCACAAGAAUAUUGGAAAAUGUCAAAAAUCGUUUGAAAGUAGAACUUCUUUUAACUAGAGCGCCGUAUUUUUUAAAUGCAUGUCGUGCAUGUGACGCUGCAAAAGACAUGAGACUUGAACGCAGCUGUCAAACACAUCCGUCUAGCCUAGCUAGGUUAGAAAAACAGCAGACUAGUUCUGUGUGAACAAACGCUAAGAAUGAUUUGCUAACAUUCAAAGUAAGUUCUGAAUGUUGCAUAAGUGUUCACAAUCACCAGUUGUUGUUUAUGUUUUGUCAAUGUAAAGGAAACAUUCCAUUUGAUCAUUUUG
rnacentral:lncRNA from 1 species